GUAAAUGAUUUCUGUGCUUGUAUCUCGUGGAACCUCUGCUCUUGGUUGUCAUGAAACGGCGUGUUUUGGAUGAACGACGACGUACGUACGAGAGCUGACCGAUGGACGGGGAAGCGUACACACUGGCUGGUCCAGUCGGGUCACAGUGUAGUGUGUUUUUCACGAGAGAUGCUCUCGCCUCGCUUUCUGUCCUCUUCUUCCCUCCGAGACUCCAGUCGAGCCAACCUACACCAAAAAGCAUAUACUGAGGGUCUGAGAUUGUCUUGGAUUUAUAAUCAGAACCGGUCUACCAACUCGAGCGUGAAUUAAUCCGGGCCUGACGCCUCUUCUAGACCUCUCUACAUCUAGUGGUUCGGUCCGGAUAACUGAUUGAGAUCUCUACAACUGAUCAGGCAAAGGAUUCGCAAACACCAAGGAAAAUGCGCGGCACGAAUUGACAGAGUGGAGUAAUAUCGCGACGGUGAUGUUGUCGCUGGUGCCGGGCAACGAUCUGUCGAGGGCACGCCGCACACGGGCCACCCACAUCGGAAAUUAGUGCGGGCAAUCAGCUGCCUCCUCCACUAAAUCCUAGCUGGUCCUGCUCCUGUCGUCCUUGCCCUUCGCGCACGAAGAAGGAGCAGGCAGGGGAAACCGGCUCUGAAACGGCGAGAAAUUACCGAUACAUUCAACGGCAAGGAAACAAGAAAUUGAACUCUGAAUCUACUCCGUAGAAUUAUAGAUGUCAUUUGGUUAAGGUCCAGUUUAUUUUUGUUGUAAUUGUAAUGUCGGAUCAAAUUCUCCAAGAUUUUUUGCGCCGAGAUUUUUUUGAUUGGGAAAACAUUACCAUCAGUGGAUGUGUCUAAUAGUGCGGGUGAGCCAGCUGGGAGAGUCUCUUCUUGCAGUGGGGGUUGCAUAUCGAUACUCGUUUCGGCAAUC